GGACGGGCCGCCAUAGCGGCGAGGCGGCACCGGGAAAGAUUCCGGCCGUGUGUAAUCCCUGCGUUCCACCUAAAGAAUCAGACCUCAUAAAAGCAAUGAGUAAAGCACCCGCUUAAAUGCCGAUGCAGCAUUCGCAGUUACAGGAGAAGGAGUGCAUGAGAGGCUGAUGGCUGAUGUUAAACCACAACAGGAUGAGAAAACACAAGAGAUGAGUAUCAGACAUAGUAAAACAAUCUAAGGAUGUCUUCUGGAAACAGUAAGAGAAAGCAACAAAGAAAUGGAGAACAGCCAGACUGCAAGCUGUGGGAGCAGCAGGAACUGAGGUGUCUGGUUGGGUGGUUAGCUCAACCUUUCUUGCAACAAAAGAAUGAAGUGACUUUGGAGAAGUUUCUGCUUCACAAGAACUUGGCACCAUGUUUUUACAGCAAACUUGCACAACACUGGCACCACAAAAAGGAAAGAUGUUACCCUCUAUGGAACCUGGGGGGAGUUACUUUUAUGCAGCAUGGAUGAGGGAGUGAAAACCAGCAGUGAACAGCUCUUGCUGAAGAGCUUUUUUUUGUCUCUUAUUCUAAAAUAAGCAAAGAGAUCCUGUGGAGCCCAAGCAUUUGGUCUGCUGGAAGGCAGGGUCUGCUCUGCUCACUUGCAAGAAGACCUCUGAUUAGAUUAUCUGGUGCUUCCAUAUUGUACUUGAAGCUGGAUUGCAAGGAGAGAGAAGUAUAUAUAAGCCACCUUUACAAUUUCCUGACUCUGCCCAGCAAGAAACAAAUACGGACUUCAUUAUAAUGCAGAGGAACAGAGACAGCUAUUUCCCUGCCUGAGGUCUCAGAGAAUUGUUCAGCAGUUGAGCUAAACAAUGUCCUGACUAUCUCCUUAGCAAAAGAAAUGGAAUGAGUUGGCAUAAGCUGCUAUACCAACUCAAAACUCUCCAGAGAUCCCCUUUUCACAAUGUGAAACCUCAAAGGACUGCACUACGAAAACCAGCUGUAGCAGAGCUGAAAGUUUGACCUCUGGACUCCAGCACUGUGCUCGUUUAAUGUGUGUGCGACUCCCACUGACACCAACUGAAGA